AUUGAACGCUAGCGGGAUGCUUUACACAUGCAAGUCGAACGGCAGCGCGGACUUCGGUCUGGCGGCGAGUGGCGAACGGGUGAGUAAUGUAUCGGAACGUGCCCAGUAGCGGGGGAUAACUACGCGAAAGCGUAGCUAAUACCGCAUACGCCCUACGGGGGAAAGCAGGGGAUCGUAAGACCUUGCACUAUUGGAGCGGCCGAUAUCGGAUUAGCUAGUUGGUGAGGUAACGGCUCACCAAGGCGACGAUCCGUAGCUGGUUUGAGAGGACGACCAGCCACACUGGGACUGAGACACGGCCCAGACUCCUACGGGAGGCAGCAGUGGGGAAUUGUGGACAAUGGGGGCAACCCUGAUCCAGCCAUCCCGCGUGUGCGAUGAAGGCCUUCGGGUUGUAAAGCACUUUUGGCAGGAAAGAAACGUCGCGGGCUAAUACCCCGUGGAACUGACGGUACCUGCAGAAUAAGCACCGGCUAACUACG
rnacentral:rRNA from 1 species